GAAGGCAACCUGAUGAACUGUGUACACAACUCUAUUUCGCAAGUUCUCAAUCAGGCUGGCUUAAAGAUCGGGAACCAUACAGCUGCUAUGGUCAUCAUGAACAGCAUAAAUUCUGGUGCUACGCAGCAGACCCAGGAUGCUACAUUUGUAGUAGUAACAUUUCCUGGUCCCAUUAACAGUCCAUAACCAUACCAGAGUUCACAGUAAAGCAGAACCAUCAACAAACACAUGUAAGUAC